CGCGUAGGCGGACUUUCAAGUCAGGGGUGAAAUCCCGAGGCUCAACCUCGGAACUGCCUUUGAUACUGUAAGUCUUGAGACCGAGAGAGGUGAGUGGAAUUCCUAGUGUAGAGGUGAAAUUCGUAGAUAUUAGGAAGAACACCAGUGGCGAAGGCGGCUCACUGGCUCGGUACUGACGCUGAGGUGCGAAAGCGUGGGGAGCAAACA
rnacentral:rRNA from 1 species